rnacentral:rRNA from 1 species
CCCUUAGAUGCUCUGGGCCGCACGCGCGCUACACUGAUGCAUUCAACGAGUUUUUCCUGGUCCGAGAGGAAUGGGUAACCUUUUGAAAGUGCAUCGUGCUAGGGAUAGACUAUUGCAAUUAUUGGUCUUCAACGAGGAAUUCCUAGUAGACGUAGUUCAUCAGACUGCAUCGAUUACGUCCCUGCCCUUUGUACACACCGCCCGUCGCUCCUACCGAUUGGAUGAUCCGGUGAGCUAUUCGGACCUUCGCUUCGUCGAUUUUCGGCUUUGUGAGAGAAGGUCUCGCGAACCUUAUCAUCUAGAGGAAGGAGAAGUCGUAACA